rnacentral:rRNA from 1 species
GUGCCAGCAGCCGCGGUAAUACGUAGGUGGCAAGCGUUGUCCGGAAUUAUUGGGCGUAAAGGGCUCGCAGGCGGUUUCUUAAGUCUGAUGUGAAAGCCCCCGGCUCAACCCGGGGAGGGUCAUUGGAAACUGGGAAACUUGAGUGCAGAAGAGGAGAGUGGAAUUCCACGUGUAGCGGUGAAAUGCGUAGAGAUGUGGAGGAACACCAGUGGCGAAGGCGACUCUCUGGUCUGUAACUGACGCUGAGGAGCGAAAGCGUGGGGAGCGAACAGGAUUAGAUACCCUGGUAGUCC